rnacentral:tRNA from 1 species
GCUGCUACAAUGUAAAUGUUUAACAUGCUCAGCUGGUAUUUGAAGAUUUGUGGUUCGAAUCCCAAUAGAAGCA